UACUACCCUGGAAGAAUGGCAGAGUUAUCAAGAACUGAACCGGGCCUCUGGACAAGAGCAUACCACAACCCUAUCCUGCCAGACCCAACAAAGGGUUUUUCAGGUAAAAACACUUAAGCAAUGGCCUCAUGAAGACACAAGGAGACACAGUGACUGCUGAAUUCUACUGCUGUUUUUUUCGUUUACAUUCUCCAUUGAUUAUCCAAGAAAUGAAGAUUCUUAUAGGGCAAUGACCUGGGAAUCUGGAUACUACUCUAAUCAGCGACCCCUAAGGCUUUAGGGGUAUGUAGGCUGAAAGGGGAGUCCAGAUGGAGCCUGUGCCUGGUUGUAAUCUUCAUUUCAAGAAUACUGUGGGAGAGAAGUACUUAGAAUUCUGGGACUGAAUACUUGCAUCUACUGAGUAAGCCCAACAUAUUCCUCACAUUCUGCCAGCACUCUGGAAAGGAGCUGCCAGCGUCUGAAGGAAAAUGAUGCACUGAAGAGAAUAUCCAAGAAACUAUGAAAUGGCAAUUAAAGAUGUCCCAAACCAA